rnacentral:rRNA from 1 species
AACGAACGCUGGCGGCAUGCCUAACACAUGCAAGUCGAACGAGGCCUUCGGGUCUAGUGGCGCACGGGUGCGUAACGCGUGGGAACCUGCCCUUAGGUUCGGAAUAACUCCCCGAAAGGGGUGCUAAUACCGGAUAAUGUCUUCGGACCAAAGAUUUAUCGCCUUUGGAUGGGCCCGCGUUGGAUUAGCUAGUUGGUAGGGUAAAAGCCUACCAAGGCGACGAUCCAUAGCUGGUCUGAGAGGAUGAUCAGCCACACUGGGACUGAGACACGGCCCAGACUCCUACGGGAGGCAGCAGUGGGGAAUAUUGGACAAUGGGCGAAAGCCUGAUCCAGCAAUGCCGCGUGAGUGAUGAAGGCCUUAGGGUUGUAAAGCUCUUUUACCCGGGAUGAUAAUGACAGUACCGGGAGAAGAAGCUCCGGCUAACUCCGUG